AGUGAACGCUGGCGGUAGGCCUAACACAUGCAAGUCGAACGGCAGCACAGUAAGAGCUUGCUCUUACGGGUGGCGAGUGGCGGACGGGUGAGGAAUACAUCGGAAUCUACUUUUUCGUGGGGGAUAAUGUAGGGAAACUUACGCUAAUACCGCAUACGACCUACGGGUGAAAGCAGGGGAUCUUCGGACCUUGCGCGAUUGAAUGAGCCGAUGUCGGAUUAGCUAGUUGGCGGGGUAAAGGCCCACCAAGGCGACGAUCCGUAACUGGUCUGAGAGGAUGAUCAGCCACACUGGAACUGAGACACGGUCCAGACUCCUACGGGAGGCAGCAGUGGGGAAUAUUGGACAAUGGGCGCAAGCCUGAUCCAGCCAUACCGCGUGGGUGAAGAAGGCCUUCGGGUUGUAAAGCCCUUUUGUUGGGAAAGAAAAGCAGCAGGUUAAUACCCCGCUGUUCUGACGGUACCCAAAGAAUAAGCACCGGCUAACUUCGUG
rnacentral:rRNA from 1 species